rnacentral:rRNA from 1 species
CGCAUCUGUGCAUGCAGCAUAUCAAUAAGCGGAGGAAAAGAAACUAACAAGGAUUCCCCUAGUAACGGCGAGGUGAAGCGGGAAGAGCUCAAAUUUGAAAUCUUAAAGGGUUUCCCUUUACGAAUUGUAGUUUAAAGAAGUGUUUUCUGUUGAGGUUUUGGUAAAAGUUCUUUGGAAUAGGACAUCAUAGAGGGUGAGAAUCCCGUAUUUGACCUUUACUUUCAACUUUGUGAUACACUUUCAAAGAGUCGGAUUGUUUGGGAAUGCAGUCCAAAAUGGGUGGUAAAUUUCAUCUAAAGCUAAAUAUUGGCGAGAGACCGAUAGCGAACAAGUACCGUGAGGGAAAGAUGAAAAGAACUUUGAAAAGAGAGUUAAACAGUACGUGAAAUUGUCAAAAGGGAAGCGUUUGACACCAGUGUUGUUUUUCUGAAAAUCAAUUAAAGAACUGUUUAUGCUAAGCUGUUUAGACUUUAUCAGCUAUCUGUUUAGUUUUAGGCUUUUCUUUAAUGCACUUUUCAGUUAACAAGUCAACAUCAAUUUCUUUUGCUGUAAAAAAGCUUGAGGAAGGUGGCUUGAGAUUCGUCUUAAGUGUUUAUAGCCUCUUGCCUAUGCAGUCGGAGAGAUUGAGGUCUGCAGCGUAGAUCCUUCGGGGCUAAAUGCAUUUGUGCUAAGUUAUAGCAUUUUAUAGACAACUUGUUGACUAUGAUUUGUCUUGUAGCUUACUCGCUUAUGUUAUUUUACCUACGCUUAGGAUGUUGAACGCGCACAGAGUCUC